CUCCACGCAUACCAAGCCAAUUUUUGACGUCGUGGCAUAAGAAUUUUAAUUGAGAUUAGGGUUAUUUAUUGACAGUCAUGAUUAGAAACCAAUAUGAGCUCAUAAAGUGGUUUAUAAGAUUUAUUCUAAAACUUUAAACAUUUAUUAGCAGAAAGAAUAUUUAUGGAGUAAACUUAGAUUUUUUUUAAUCUUUGAUUAAAACAACACUUUUUUAAAAGAAAUAAUACACUUUACAUUCCUGCUAAACCAUUACGGUUCAACCAAUGAGAUGGCUUGAUAGCUAAUAUUUGUUUGAUUUAGCAUUUAGAGAUAUGAAAGGCAUUGACAGUGUAAUUUCAAUCCAUUUUUUCGGAUAUGCUCAUUAGAUCUAAAAAAAACUUGUAAUGAACAAUUUUUUAGUGUCCUAUAAAUUAACCCCCUCGGAAGAGGGUUUUAUUGAACCCUUUCUAAUUAUUUUCAGAUUUAUCUCGCAGAAAUCCCCUGCUUAGUUUGGGAUUUUACAGAAGAUAGGUCCAGAAGAGAUGUCUCAUUCCUGUUCCUCUCUUCUGGACCCCUCUUUUUGUAAAAUCUUUAAUCAUCCGGCCUAGUUCAUUAAGUUUAGUUUGUGGAAUUUGUCGAGAUUUUACAUAUAUUAUAACCUAAUCUAAUAACAGAAAUAUAGGUCAGAAAAUUAA